rnacentral:rRNA from 2 species
GACGGAGGGUGCAAGCGUUGCUCGGAAUCACUGGGCGUAAAGCGCGUGUAGGCGGUUCGGUAAGUCGAGUGUGAAAGCCCGGGGCUCAACCUCGGAAGUGCACUCGAAACUGUCGAACUUGAGUACGGGAGAGGGAAGUGGAAUUCCUGGUGUAGAGGUGAAAUUCGUAGAUAUCAGGAGGAACACCGGUGGCGAAGGCGGCUUCCUGGACCGAUACUGACGCUGAGACGCGAAAGCGUGGGGAGCAAACAGG